rnacentral:rRNA from 1 species
AGUAGUAAUACUUAGUGGCAGACGGGUGAGUAACAUGUAGGUAUCUUCCCUUUGGUGAGGAAUAACACGAGGAAACUUGUGCUAAUACCUCAUAAGUCUUUACGGAGAAAGCUUUAUGCGCCGAAGGAUGAGCCUGCACUUGAUUAGGUUGUUGGUGGGGUAAUGGCCUACCAAGACUUUGAUCAAUAGCUGAUCUGAGAGGAUGACCAGCCACAUUGGGAUUGAGACACGGCCCAAACUCCUACGGGAGGCAGCAGUAGGGAAUAUUGCACAAUGGAGGAAACUCUGAUGCAGCGAUGCCGCGUGAGUGAAGAAGGCCUUUGGGUUGUAAAGCUCUUUCGUCGGGGAAGAAAAUGACUGUACCCGAAUAAGAAGGUCCGGCUAACUUCGUGCCAGCAGCCGCGGUAAUACGAAGGGACCUAGCGUAGUUCGGAAUUACUGGGCUUAAAGAGUUCGUAGGUGGCUAAAAAAGUUGGUGGUGAAAUCCCAGAGCUUAACUCUGGAACUGCCAUCAAAACUUUUUAGCUAGAGUAUGAUAGAGGAAAGCAGAAUUUCUAGUGUAGAGGUGAAAUUCGUAGAUAUUAGAAAGAAUACCAAUUGCGAAGGCAGCUUUCUGGAUCAUUACUGACGCUGAGGAACGAAAGCAUGGGUAGCGAAGAGGAUUAGAUACCCUCGUAGUCCAUGCCGUAAACGAUGUGUGUUAGACGUUGGAAAUUUAUUUUCAGUGUCGCAGCGAAAGCAUUAAACACACCGCCUGGGGAGUACGACCGCAAGGUUAAAACUCAAAUGAAUUGACGGGGACCCGCACAAGUAGUGGAGCAUGUG